UGGGGAAUAUUGGACAAUGGGCGCAAGCCUGAUCCAGCCAUGCCGCGUGAGUGAUGAAGGCCCUAGGGUUGUAAAGCUCUUUCACCGGUGAAGAUAAUGACGGUAACCGGAGAAGAAGCCCCGGCUAACUUCGUGCCAGCAGCCGCGGUAAUACGAAGGGGGCUAGCGUUGUUCGGAUUUACUGGGCGUAAAGCGCACGUAGGCGGACUUUUAAGUCAGGGGUGAAAUCCCGGGGCUCAACCCCGGAACUGCCUUUGAUACUGGAAGUCUUGAGUAUGGUAGAGGUGAGUGGAAUUCCGAGUGUAGAGGUGAAAUUCGUAGAUAUUCGGAGGAACACCAGUGGCGAAGGCGGCUCACUGGACCAUUACUGACGCUGAUGUGCGAAAGCGUGGGGAUCAAACAGG
rnacentral:rRNA from 1 species